AUAAAAUAGGGGUUGUAGAGGAUGAAACCCCCUGCCACCUUAAGAAGAUACCGAGGCUGUAAAUCAGCCGUUGAAGGAAAC
rnacentral:sRNA from 19 species